rnacentral:rRNA from 1 species
GAUGAACGCUGGCGGCGUGCCUAAUACAUGCAAGUCGAGCGAACGGACGAGAAGCUUGCUUCUCUGAUGUUAGCGGCGGACGGGUGAGUAACACGUGGAUAACCUACCUAUAAGACUGGGAUAACUUCGGGAAACCGGAGCUAAUACCGGAUAAUAUUUUGAACCGCAUGGUUCAAAAGUGAAAGACGGUCUUGCUGUCACUUAUAGAUGGAUCCGCGCUGCAUUAGCUAGUUGGUAAGGUAACGGCUUACCAAGGCAACGAUGCAUAGCCGACCUGAGAGGGUGAUCGGCCACACUGGAACUGAGACACGGUCCAGACUCCUACGGGAGGCAGCAGUAGGGAAUCUUCCGCAAUGGGCGAAAGCCUGACGGAGCAACGCCGCGUGAGUGAUGAAGGUCUUCGGAUCGUAAAACUCUGUUAUUAGGGAAGAACAUGUGUGUAAGUAACUGUGAACAUCUUGACGGUACCUAAUCAGAAAGCCACGGCUAACUACGUG